UACGGUAGGGACCAAGCGUUGUCCGGAAUCAUUGGGCGUAAAGAGCGUGUAGGCGGCUUGUUAAGUCUUGCGUGAAAUCUCGGGGCUCAACCCCGAGCGGUCGUGAGAAACUGGCAGGCUAGAGUGCGGGGAGAAGGAGAGUGGAAUUCCUGGUGUAGCGGUGAAAAUGCGCAGAUAUCAGGAAGAACACCCGUGGCGAAGGCGGCUCUCUGGAACGCAACUGACGCUGAGACGCGAAAGCGUGGGGAGCAAACAGG
rnacentral:rRNA from 1 species